AAAUUGAAGAGUUUGAUCAUGGCUCAGAUUGAACGCUGGCGGCAGGCCUAACACU
rnacentral:rRNA from 1 species